CAGAAAAUAGUUUAGAUAAAAUAUAAAUUUUGGAUAUUUAAGAUGAGUAAUCUUUUCUGA
rnacentral:tRNA from 1 species